CUUAUGUUUGAUACCAGAUCUUAUUCCAGUGAUUAAUAUCCGCUUGAGUAACCCAAUCUGAGUCUGAUUUUUUUCGUUAACGAUUCAGGUGUUUAUUUUGGAUGGUCCGGAGUUUUUGGCUGCAACUAUGUUGGACAGAGAUAUGCUUGCUAUGGCUGGAAAUUGGUACCAUGUCGGUUGGUUUUGCUUGGCAAGAUUUGUGACGAUGCGUCGGACAAACAACAUUGGGAUAAGAUACAGCCUUGAGCCUUGGCAAGUUAACACAUUAGUUAGGGUUAUGAAGUUUUUCAUGGCACCGACACAUUAUUGAGCAGUAGCGCAUCAGACUCCUUCCCCUACAAGGAACUCUUGAAUGGGAUCUUAUGAGAAGUUGAAGGAAAGGUAUAUCUUGCACAUUUCUUUAUCUAUAUCUAUAUAUCGAUAUAUCUA